GACGAACGCUGGCGGCGUGCCUAAUACAUGCAAGUCGAGCGGAUUUGUCCUUCGGGGCAAGUUAGCGGCGGACGGGUGAGUAACACGUAGGCAACCUGCCUGUAAGACCGGGAUAACUAUCGGAAACGAUAGCUAAGACCGGAUAGCUGGUUUCCCCGCAUGGGGAAAUCAUGAAACACGGGGCAACCUGUGGCUUACAGAUGGGCCUGCGGCGCAUUAGCUAGUUGGUAGGGUAACGGCCUACCAAGGCGACGAUGCGUAGCCGACCUGAGAGGGUGAACGGCCACACUGGGACGGAGACACGGCCCAGACUCCUACGGGAGGCAGCAGUAGGGGAUCUUCCGCAAUGGACGCAAGUCUGACGGAGCAACGCCGCGUGAGUGAUGAAGGUUUUCGGAUCGUAAAGCUCUGUUGCCCUAGACGAACAGCAGGGAGAGUAACUGCUCUCCGUGUGACGGUAUAGGAGAAGAAAGCCCCGGCUAACUACGUGCCAGCCGCCGCAGUUAACAC
rnacentral:rRNA from 1 species